CGGUAAUACGUGGAAGACUAGUGUUAUUCAUNUUUAAUUGGUUUAAAGGGNACCUAGACGGUCUAUUAAGCCCCUAAAGGGUACUUACAGACUAGAGUUUGAUGAGAGGGGGGAAGUACGAGAGAGUGUAGAGAUGAAAUUCUGUCAUACCUUACUUGGAACAGGCAACGGCGAAAGCAACUCCUUAUGUAAAAACUGACGUUGAAGGACGAAGGCUUGGGACACCAACAGGAUUAGAUACCCCAGCAGUCCUUGCAGACAAUGAUGAAUGUCAUAGAUUGGAAUUAAAUAUCUUUUUUUUUUUAAAAUAUCUUUUUGUCUAUAAAUGAAAGUGUAANCNUUCCNCCUCAANAGUAANGNGGCANCNCAAAAACUGAAAUCAUUANACCGUUUCUGAAACCAGUAGNGAAGUAUGUUGUUUAAUUUGGUGACCCGCAAAACACCUUACCACAAUUUGAAUAUUUUUAUGUUUAUAUAAAUACAAGCGUUGCACGGCUGUCUUCAGUUAAUGUCGNGAGAUUUUGGUUAGUUCCAUAAAAUUAACGUAAACCCUUACUUUAUUUUUAUAAUANAGUANUUCACCGCUAUAUUGGAUACNAUAAAAGGGAUUAAGACAAGUCAAUAUGGCCUUAAUAUUGUGGGCUAUA
rnacentral:rRNA from 1 species